rnacentral:rRNA from 1 species
CAGCCGCCGCGGGAAUACGUAGGUGGCAAGCGUUGUCCGGAAUUAUUGGGCGUAAAGGGCUCGCAGGCGGUUUCUUAAGUCUGAUGUGAAAGCCCCCGGCUCAACCGGGGAGGGUCAUUGGAUACUGGGAAACUUGAGUGCAGAAGAGGAGAGUGGAAUUCCACGUGUAGCGGUGAAAUGCGUAGAGAUGUGGAGGAACACCAGUGGCGAAGGCGACUCUCUGGUCUGUAACUGACGCUGAGGAGCGAAAGCGUGGGGAGCGAACAGGAUUAGAUACCCCGGUAGUCCCUGUUUCUUAUAC